rnacentral:other from 1 species
AAAUCCCUGCAGUGUUCGUUUGUGCGGCAGUAAAAUUGAACCAACACAAUUUAUAAGGGUGCUGGUAUAGGCAUGCCCGAGGGUGUGCCAAACAAGGCGCCCACCUGUGAGAACGGGUUCAAACUCACGCGCUGCGCGACGACAUGAGCGGGGAUUUU